rnacentral:rRNA from 1 species
AGUCACUGACAUUAGAUACCCGUGUAGUCCAGGGUGUAAACGCUGCAGACUUGGUGUUGGGAACCCUUCGGGGGUGCUCAGUGCCGGAGAGAAGUUGUUAAGUCUGCUACUUGGGGAGUACGUCCGCAAGGAUGAAACUUAAAGGAAUUGGCGGGGAGCACCGCAACGGGAGGAGCGUGCGGUUUAAUUGGAUUCAACGCCGAAAAACUCACCAGCAGCGACUGUUACAUGAAGGCCGAGAUGAAGACUCUGCUAGAUUUUCAG